UACGGGGGGAGCAAGCGUUGUUCGGAAUUACUGGGCGUAAAGGGCUCGUAGGCGGCCAACUAAGUCAGACGUGAAAUCCCUCGGCUUAACCGGGGAACUGCGUCUGAUACUGGAUGGCUUGAGUUUGGGAGAGGGAUGCGGAAUUCCAGGUGUAGCGGUGAAAUGCGUAGAUAUCUGGAGGAACACCGGUGGCGAAGGCGGCAUCCUGGACCAACACUGACGCUGAGGAGCGAAAGCCAGGGGAGCAAACGGG
rnacentral:rRNA from 1 species